GGGUGAGUAACACGUGGGAACGUGCCUUUAGGUUCGGAAUAGCUCCUGGAAACGGGGUGGUAAUGCCGAAUGUGCCCUUCGGGGGAAAGAUUUAUCGCCUUUAGAGCGGCCCGCGUCUGAUUAGCUAGUUGGUGAGGUAACGGCUCACCAAGGCGACGAUCAGUAGCUGGUCUGAGAGGAUGACCAGCCACACUGGGACUGAGACACGGCCCAGACUCCUACGGGAGGCAGCAGUGGGGAAUCUUGCGCAAUGGGCGAAAGCCUGACGCAGCCAUGCCGCGUGAAUGAUGAAGGUCUUAGGAUUGUAAAAUUCUUUCACCGGGGACGAUAAUGACGGUACCCGGAGAAGAAGCCCCGGCUAACUUCGUGCCAGCAGCCGCGGUAAUACGAAGGGGGCUAGCGUUGCUCGGAAUUACUGGGCGUAAAGGGCGCGUAGGCGGAUCGUUAAGUCAGAGGUGAAAUCCCAGGGCUCAACCCUGGAACUGCCUUUGAUACUGGCGAUCUUGAGUAUGAGAGAGGUAUGUGGAACUCCGAGUGUAGAGGUGAAAUUCGUAGAUAUUCGGAAGAACACCAGUGGCGAAGGCGACAUACUGGCUCAUUACUGACGCUGAGGCGCGAAAGCGUGGGGAGCAAACGGGAUUAGAUACCCUGGUAGUCCACGCCGUAAACGA
rnacentral:rRNA from 1 species